rnacentral:rRNA from 1 species
UUAAAGAGUGCGUAAUAGCUCACUAGUCAAGCGACUCGGCGUCGAUAAUAAUCGGGCAUAAGUCCGGUGCCGAAGCUGUGGGAAUGAAAAUUCGGUAGGGGAGCAUUCCAGCCUGCGUAGAAGGUGCCACCGUGAGGGGUGCUGGAGCGGCUGGAAGCGAAACUGUAGGCAUGAGUAACGAUAAGAAGGGUGAAAAACCCUUCCACCGCAAACCCAAGGGUUCCUGAUCAACGCUAAUCGGAUCAGGGUUAGUCGAGACCUAAGGUGUACCCGGUGAGGCCGGGGAAGCCGAUGGCAAAGCGGUUAAAUAUUCCGCUACCGACUCUGGCGUUAGGCUAAGGCGUGACGCAGAAGUGACACUCCCGCGUGCUGACGAAUGCACGUUAAAGGGCGUAGGCCGGGGGGCAGGUAAAUCCGUCCCCCAUGAGGCUGAAUCCCGACAGUACCCGGACCCGCAAGGGGAAGGGAUAGUGGAGGUAAUCAUGCUGCCAAGAAAAGCGUCGUAGUUUGUUAGAGUCGCUCGUACCCCAAACCGACACAGGUGGGUGAGGAGAGUAUCCUCAGGU